rnacentral:tRNA from 1 species
GCGGAGGUGGCAGAGCCUGGUCAAAUGCGGUAGGUUCAGGGCCUACUCCCUUAGUGGGUGCGAGGGUUCGAAUCCCUUCCUCCGCA